rnacentral:rRNA from 1 species
UACGAAGGGAGCUAGCGUUGUUCGGAAUUACUGGGCGUAAAGGGCGUGUAGGCGGUCCCAUAAGUCAGAUGUGAAAGCCCUAGGCUUAACCUAGGAGGUGCAUUUGGUACUGUGGGACUAGAGAUCGAGAGAGGAAAGUGGAAUUACGAGUGUAGAGGUGAAAUUCGUAGAUAUUCGUAAGAACACCAGUGGCGAAGGCGGCUUUCUGGACGAUGACUGACGCUGAGACGCGAAAGCGUGGGGAGCAAACAGG